rnacentral:rRNA from 1 species
GGGGAAUCUUGCGCAAUGGGCGAAAGCCUGACGCAGCAACGCCGCGUGGGGGAUGAAGGCUCUCGGGUUGUAAACCCCUUUCAGGAGGGACGAAAAUGACGGUACCUCCAGAAGAAGCCCCGGCCAACUACGUGCCAGCAGCCGCGGUAACACGUAGGGGGCGAGCGUUGUCCGGAUUUAUUGGGCGUAAAGAGCUCGUAGGCGGUUUGGCAAGUCGGGUGUGAAAUUUCGAGGCUCAACCUCGAAACGCCACUCGAUACUGCCAUGACUGGAGUCCGGUAGAGGAGUGCGGAAUUCCUGGUGUAGCGGUGAAAUGCGCAGAUAUCAGGAGGAACACCAACGGCGAAGGCAGCACUCUGGGCCGGUACUGACGCUGAGGAGCGAAAGCGUGGGGAGCAAAC